UCCCGGGAAUCCGGCAGGAACCGGGAGUGGGCGAGCCACUGCUGGGAAGCACGGAGGGCUCCGCACGGCGGGUGAUGCAGCCCGCGGGGGCGGACGUGUCCCUUGACAGAGAGGACGGAGAAGACAGGUGUGUGCGGACUGGUCCUGGGUGCGCUAAGGAGAACUGGAGGCGCUCCCGAGAUGGUGAGAAGCUGAAGGUGUCACUAAGUCCUGAUGCCGAUGCCACGCAAGUGACCAGGAGCAGCGCUCUGAGCCUGUGUGGCCUGGCGGGCUGGGGUCUGGGACAGGAGGAGGACACGGGAGCGUAGGACGGUGGGACAGGAGAAAAAUUAUCAGCUGUUUAUACUCACCACAGAAUAACAACAGCUUCUCUAAUUUUCUGGAAGAAUGAGCUGAAGCGAUUAGCCAAGGCUGGAGGUUAGCAGGCCUGGAAGAUUGCACAGGGGAUAUAUUUGAUGAAAUAUGGACAAGACCUGAGCACUGAGGACUGCAAAAUAUAGCUGAUGGGAAUGAAAGGAGCCCUGCACACACGGAGAGAGAUGCU